UACGUAGGUGGCAAGCGUUGUCCGGAUUUACUGGGCGUAAAGAGCGCGCAGGCGGUCGAUCAAGUCGCGUGUGAAAGCCCCCGGCUCAACUGGGGAGGGUCACGCGAUACUGAUCGACUCGAAGGCAGGAGAGGGUAGUGGAAUUCCCGGUGUAGUGGUGAAAUGCGUAGAUAUCUGGAGGAACACCGGUGGCGAAGGCGGCAUCCUGGACCGGUAUUGACGCUGAGGCGCGAAAGCCAGGGGAGCAAAGCGGG
rnacentral:rRNA from 1 species